ACAUUAUAGUGUAAGGAGCACAAAAAUUUUUGAUAUUUUAAGAUUACAGUUUAAAUCUGUUGCAUGUA
rnacentral:tRNA from 1 species